GAACAAGGUUUUAAGGGCAGCAAAGGAGAAAUUGGUGAAAAGGGUGAACAAGGAGAAAAAGGAAAUCCAGGUGUGGCGGGCAUUAACGGACAAGAUGGUUUGAAAGGUGACUCGGGUCCUCAUGGUCCACCUGGCCUAAAAGGAGAAAAG